rnacentral:rRNA from 1 species
AGUGAACGCUGGCGGCAGGCCUAACACAUGCAAGUCGAACGGUAACAGGCUGCAGGUUUGUGCUUCGCUGACGAGUGUCGGACGGGUGAGAAGUGUCUGGCAAACUGUCGGAUGUAGGGGGAUAUCUAGUGGGAAGGGUAGCUAAUAUCGCAUAACGUCGCAAGAACGGAGAGGGGGGGCUUUUGGCAUCUUGCCAGCGGGUGUGCCCAGAUGGGAUUAGCUAGGGGGGGGGGUAACGGCUCCCCUAGGCGACGAUCCGUAGCUGGUGUGAGAGGAUGAUCAGCCACACUGGAACUGAGACACGGUCCAGACUCCUACGAGAGGCAGCAGUGGGGAAUAUUGGACAAUAGGCGCAAGCCUGAUCCAGCCAUGCUGCGUGUAUGAAGAAGGCCUUCGGGUUGUAAAGUCCUUUUGGCGGGGAAGAAAAGCGUAAAGUUAAUACCUAGCCUGACUGACGGUACCCGCAGAAGAAGCACCGGCUAACUCCGUG